AUGUGCUCAGCAAACAGGAAGGCUUCGUUUCCCUGCCUGCUGUCUGCAUUUGUGAACCCCCUGAUCGAUUCAAGUAUCUUCACUGCAGACGUUGGUGAAACUUGUCACGUGUUUGCUGUGUGCGGACGUGGUCCUGGACCCCAGGUCUCCAGAUGUAGAUGUGGAUACUCUAAUGGCUUGCAGAAGUUUUCCAUUGUUCCUGAAGUAGCCCUAACCACAACAUUUCAAGUAUGACCUUUGUUGGGUAAAUUUUCAAAUCUUCCAGUUAGAAAUUGGAACAGGGUUCUGGGAUGACUUCCCAGGUUUUGCAGGAAAAUCACUUUAAUUACCAACAACUCCUUGCUGCUGUGAACUCCACUGAUACCAUCAAACGGCAAGUCUUCUUGACUGAUUUGCAGUGGUUUAAAAAUAAAGACCGGCCUGAACUUCA
rnacentral:lncRNA from 1 species